rnacentral:tRNA from 1 species
ACAACAAUAUCUCAGUUGGUUAGAGCAUGGUGCUAAUAACACCGAGUUCACAGGUUCAAUCCCUGCUUACUGCA